GUCAUUUUCACGUGGUGCUUCUUUGCUAAAAUGUGGAUUUCUCGUCAUAAUUUUUAAAGUUUUUAUUAGUUUUCUAUAAAUAUAACAUAUUCUCAUAAGUGUUAUAAACAAAAUUUAACGAGUAUUCAAGAUGAAGUUCAACUAUAAGUUCCACAAUUUGCUGGGAACAGUGUACAGAAAAGGUGACAUAUUAUUUACAAAUGAUGGAAACUGUGUCAUUAGCCCAGUUGGUAACAAAAUAACUGUGUAUAAUUUGAAACA